GAUGAACGCUGGCGGCGUGCCUAAGACAUGCAAGUCGAGUGGGUUUAGACCCACGGCGAACGGGUGAGUAAUACCUAGGAAUGUAUCUUUAGUUGAGGAUAUCCCACCGAAAGGUGGAGCAAUACUCAAUGUGAUCGCAAGAUUAAAGUCGCAAGACGCUAAAGAAGCAGCCUGGGCACCAUCAGCUAGUUGGUAAGGUAAAAGCUUACCAAGGCUAUGACGGUUAGGGGCCCCGAGAGGGGAGGACCCCACCAC
rnacentral:rRNA from 1 species